CCUACGGGCGGCAGCAGUGGGGAAUAUUGCACAAUGGGGGGAACCCUGAUGCAGCAACGCCGCGUGGGGGAAGAAGUACUUCGGUAUGUAAAGCCCUUUCAGCAGAGAAGAAAAUGACGGUACCUGACCAAGAAGCACCGGCUAACUACGUGCCAGCAGCCGCGGUAAUACGGAGGGGGCAAGCGUUAUCCGGAUUUACUGGGUGUAAAGGGAGCGUAGACGGCAAGGCAAGUCUGGAGUGAAAGCCCGUGGCUCAACCACGGGACUGCUUUGGAAACUGUGUUGCUGGAGUGCAGGAGGGGUAAGCGGAAUUCCUGGUGUAGCGGUGAAAUGCGUAGAUAUUAGGAGGAACACCGGUGGCGAAGGCGGCUUACUGGACUGUAACUGACGUUGAGGCUCGAAGGCGUGGGGAGCAAACAGGAUUAGAUACCCCUGUAGUC
rnacentral:rRNA from 1 species